rnacentral:rRNA from 1 species
AAACUAACUAGGAUGCCUUCAGUAACGGCGAGCGAAGCAGGCAUAGCUCAAAUUUGUAAUCUGGCGUCUUUGACGUCCGAGUUGUAUUUUCUAGAAGCGAGUUCGGCGACAGCUCCUACCCAAGUCCGUUGGAACGCGGCGUCAUGGAGGGUGAGAAUCCCGUGAAUGGUAGGAUGUCUGCUGCUAUGUGAACCGCCUUCGAAGAGUCGAGUUGUUUGGGAAUGCAGCUCUAAAUGGGAGGUAAAUUUCUUCUAAAGCUAAAUAUUGGCCAGAGACCGAUAGCGAACAAGUAGAGUGAUCGAAAGAUGAAAAGAACUUUGAAAAGAGAGUUAAACAGUACGUGAAAUUGUUGAAAGGGAAGCGCUUGAGAUCAGACUUCCUGUCUAAAUUGUCCUUGCUUUUGCUUGGAAUCACAGUUUAGGCGUGGAGGCCAGCAUGAGUUUUGACGGCCGGAUAAAGGCUUUGGGAAGGUAGCUCCUCUCGAGGAGUGUUAUAGCCCAGAGUGUAAUACGGCCAGUUGGGACUGAGGACCGCGGCUUUGCCUAGGAUGCUGGCGUAAUGGUCUUAAGCGAC